UACGUAGGGUGCAAGCGUUAAUCGGAAUUACUGGGCGUAAAGCGUGCGCAGGCGGCUUUGCAAGACAGUUGUGAAAUCCCCGGGCUCAACCUGGGAACUGCAUCUGUGACUGCAUCGCUGGAGUGCGGCAGAGGGGGAUGGAAUUCCGCGUGUAGCAGUGAAAUGCGUAGAUAUGCGGAGGAACACCGAUGGCGAAGGCAAUCCCCUGGGCCUGCACUGACGCUCAUGCACGAAAGCGUGGGGAGCGAAACAAGGAU
rnacentral:rRNA from 1 species